rnacentral:lncRNA from 1 species
CGUAGUCAAAUAAAUAUCAUCAUGCUACCAUAAAUAAAAGCAUAAAAUUUAAAUGAUGAUGACCAGUCAAAGCUUCCAUAAUUCUAUCUUAGAAAAAUAAUGAAAUUACAAAAGUCACCCGAAACCAUACUUUGGGUCUCCAACUUUGCCACCACAAACUUCCAUUUUCGUACUGGUUCACGUUACCGUCACUGCCAUUUUGUCGUCAUCACUACCAACCACCGGUCUACCAUCAACCAUUGUUGUCAGCCACCAUCGGAUUGCCUCUAGCCAUUUUGACCCUCACUGGCCACUGCCAUCAAUCUCUGUUGUCGGCCCCUGCCAUCGAUAUCAUCAUUGAACCACCGACACCCUUCGCUAUCGGACCACCGUUGAUCUUUUUUCGAUUUGUCUAGGUCGGGUUUGCUCGUCUCAAUCAACCUGGAUGCAUCUCAGUACUUCAAGUUAAGCCGAAAAUAUUGGUUACAUAUGUUUUAUGUCCAUUUUUGGCUCACAUAAAUUUCUAAAAUAAUAAAAUAAAUAAAUCCCAUGUGGAGAUGAUAGUCCAUAAUCCAAUUACAUACCUGAAAAUUAAUAAUAAUUACAUCCGAAUUUCUAGGAAUCACAUCUUUAGAAAAAUUAUUUUAUCAUAUAAAUUAUAAAAUAAUAGCAAGCAUUUUUUCACGUGCAUAUCCCUAAAUAUGUUGAUAAUUAAAAUAAUGUUACAUCUUAUAGAAAUUAAUCACACGUGAAGAAGAGAAAAAAAUUAAUAUCAGUUUAUACUAUCAAUGUAGAAUAACCUAGCUCUGAUACCAAUUGUUGAAAAAAAAUCUAGUUCGAAAAUAAUUUUCUUGCACAGUGAAGAAUUCAAAUUUUGAAAAUUGAGCCAAUUUGUGAUAUUUAUAGUAAUAAACUUUUAUUGCAAUUGCACUUGUGUUUUGGGCUUGAGAGAUCCUCGUCGUUCUCAGCUUUCAAUUGAAACACCUUGUACGUUAUUCUCGUACCAUAAACUGCUCCAAGUGUGGGCUAAAUUGAAUUCAAAUCAAACACAAAACCAAAUAUUAUUUUCUUAAGUUUUAGUGGGAAAGCAAAACUCUAACUUUAAUAGAAACUAGUAGAAUUACUAUUGCUGAAAAAUAGAAUUUAUACUUAAAAAUAAAUUCUCACUAUUUUUGGGUAAAAUAACAAUAUCUCAAACUUGUGUAUAACAUAUUGUAUUUUUAGCCUUAUAGAUGCCAUCUAUUUAUAAGGAGAAGAAGUGAAACCCUUGUUGAAUUAGUAAAAGUAUAUUUAAUAUAAAAAUAACUUCCUAAUUGAACUAGGAGAGAGAGGGGAGGCAACUCUAGUUAAACAUACGAGGGUUUGUCGUCCCUUGUAUUCAAUAUACGGAACUUUUGGGCCUCUCCCCUAUCGAGUCAAAUUAUAAGCACUUUCUCGACUUUUAACCUAACACUUUAUAAUCUAAUCCAACUCAAUACAUGUUUUUCUAUUUUCAAAAUAAACAUCAUAAAUUAAUUUCUCAAUUAUAUAAUUUUCUCAAUCUGAUUCUGAUUCUGUCAAAAUCAUGGCAACUUUACCUUAAAAGAAUUUUUGAGAAAAUAUAUUUGAUUUUUCUACAUUCAACGAAUUCACAAUGUGCAAUUACUUUAAUUCAAUUUCGAACUUCAAUUAAUUAUUUAAUUAAUUAAUAAUUUAAAAACUAUAAAUUAAUUCUCAGGUCAUUUCCAUACUAAGUGAGAAUAUCACAUUCAUUUUUUUAAUGUUUCUCAUUUCUCUAACUUCAUCAUUUAUGUUCAUUUAUGUUCAUUUUAUUCAACAUGUAAUUCAUUUCUAGUUUCAAUGAGCUAGUGGAAGGAUUGAUUGGACAUAUGUGAUGAAGGCUCAAGUGAUUUAUAAUUAAGUUCCAGCUUUUCGCAAUAUGAUCCUAUUUUAUGUCAUGGUAACCAUUACAUAUUCCUUCAUGAAAAGUCAAUUAUUAUGAAAUAGUAAUUAAGUCCAUUGCAAAGACAAAUGACCCAUAGCCACAUCUACUUUUCAUUUAUCAUGUAAUGCCAAUGAGAGGAUAUCAUUUACCCAUGUCUUGGGCUAUAAAUUUCACUAUUAUGAAUGAUACAUAGUAUAAAAGUCAUAUACUCAAUGCACCAAAUUUUGGUUCCUUAUCUAUUUCAACUUAGGCUUUUACUUACAUCAAAAUAUAUAAGUCACGCAGACAUAGUCCAUCAUCCACUCAAGAUUAAGUUAUGCCACACUAUUAAUGUCACAAGUGAAUAAACACCAUAAACUGAUUCAGGAUCUAUUCUACAUGGGUCCAAUCUGAUAUAUUGUUAGUCUAGUCAAUCACAUCUAUGUCUCUAUCUUCUCGGAGUCAUCUGUUCUGAUGCCUAAGACAAAGCAUCUCCCUAAUUGGACAUGAUAGAGGGUAUAUUAGUCUUUCAAUCGGUUUGCUCAUUUUCGAUUAGACAAAGGACAUGUUUAGGUUCGCCUACUAGUAUAAGUUGUCUUUCCAUAUUAUGAUCCAACCAUGUAAUAUCGCUUAGUAUUAGCUAAACAUUAGACAACCAGUGAGCUAAUAUUUGCUUUUAUUUUGUUUUACAUGCAAAAUCCACAAGAGGACAGUAUACAAAGAAUAUUAAUGAAAUUCAUGAAUAAUUUUAUUAACCAAUUUGUUUGAGAAAAUUACAAGUAUACGAACGAAUAUACUAUAAUUAGCAUACCAAAUCCAAUAGACAGAAGUGAAUAAACCCAUAAACUGACUUAGGAUGUAUUCUUCUUGGGUCCAAUUCAAUUUACUGUUAGUCCAGUUAGUCACAUCUAUGUCUCUAUCUUCUCAAAGUCAUCCGCUCUGAUGCCCAAGAUAAAACAUCUCCCUAAUUAGACUUGAUAGAUGGUAUAUUAGUCUUUCAAUUGGUUUGCUCAUUUUUUAUUAGACUAAUGACAUGUUUAGGUUCAUCUACUAGUAUAAGUUGUCUUUCCAUAUUACAAUCUGACUACGUAAUAUUGCUUAAUAUUAGUUAAACAUUAGACAACCAGUGAGCUAAUAUUUGUUUCUAUUUUGCUUUACAUGCAAAGUCCACAUGAUGACAUUAUAUAAAGAAUACUAAUGAAAUUUAUAAAUAAUUUUAUUAACCAAUCUGUUAAAAAAAAUUAUAAGUAUACAAAUGAAUAUACUACAAUUAGGGCACCAGAUCCAAUUGACACAAAAAAUGUUAUAUUUAUACAACACCCAUACAGAAAUGCACAACAGACCCUAUUUGGCAUGCCAACCGUAUCUUAUCCCUUCUAUCAAGUAUGACAAUGUAAAGGUUAUAUUCUUAUAUUAUUAAAACGUAAGAUUUCAUAAUCUAUAUGUACAGAGCAUAUUAAAAACAAAGCCACAAAUGGAUUAUCAAUUAUCAUUUUCCUAUCAAGGAAGGGUAUUACGACCUUAUAUCAUAAAUUGUUAGAUUAUUACACAUUAAUAACAAAACAACAUGCCCAUUUUCAUUAUUUUACAUUCAUCCACAUAAAUCCAACUUUUGUAAUUCAACUCACAAUGUUGAAUGGAAUUAAGUUAAUUUGAGAUAUCAAAACACAUUCUAACUCUAUUUUGAUAUACAUGAAACUUUUGCAUAAAUUCUCAUGUCCUGGAUCCAAUGCCCAUAACUUAAUUUUUCAUCUCAUACUUAUUACUUAUUUCAAGACAUGACACAUGAAUAACACAAGUUGUCACAAUUGUAAAAGUUACAUAUUAUCCAUCUACAUAUAGUAGAUCAUGAAGGUUCCAAUAAAAGGCUAAACACAUUUUUUCCAUUAUAUUGCACAAUUUUCAUUUCUCAAUGCACAUUAAUGUUCAUUUCAUCAUUAUAGCCAUGCCAUGCUUACAUAAGGUUAUGACAAAUUUUCCUCAAUUAUUAAUUACCAAACUUAAUAUAUUUUAACAUUAAUUAAUAAAGUAUAAAUGGUAGGUCCCUGUAGAAUGUACCUUAAAUCAUGAAUAUGGAGAAAAGCUUUUCUUCCUUCUUCAAUCUCCAAGGCCUCCUCUUUCUCAUAUAAUAAACACAAUAAUAAAUUUAUGAAAUAACCACAAAUAAAAUAACCAUAUUCAUGCCUCAAUAAUAUAAAGAGCGUGAAAGACAAAAUGAGUGUGAUGAAAUGAUAAAACACAUAAACUCUUACCAUGGAUGACACUUUCUUUCACUAUAGUUCCCCUUCUCUCGACACAAGCCAAGGCUUAGUCUCAGGUGAUGGAGAUGAUGAAUGAAAAUCGCUCAAAUAAGGUUUCUUUAAAAUGGGUCUAGGAUAACUAAAGAAAUUUUAUGGAAGUUUGAGUGGAGAAUGGACAAAAAUAGCAAACAAAUGAACGAGAUAAUCUCUCUCUUGCAAGAGGGGGGGACGGCAUGAGGAAGAAAACA